rnacentral:lncRNA from 1 species
AAGGACCCAGGAGUCUGGGUGCACAGCCUCCUUCUCUCUGAGAUUCAAGAGUCUGAUCAGCAGCCUCUUCCUCCUCCAGGACCCAGAAGCCCUGAGCUUAUCCCCAUGGAGCUCUGCCGGUCCCUGGCCCUGCUGGGGGGCUCCCUGGGCCUGAUGUUCUGCCUGAUUGCUUUGAGCACCGAUUUCUGGUUUGAGGCUGUGGGUCCCACCCACUCAGCUCACUCGGGCCUCUGGCCAACAGGGCAUGGGGACAUCAUAUCAGGCCACGGCCCGCUUGUCUCAACCACCGCAGCCUUUGCUGCAGGUGCCCUGAGCCUGGGUGCUCACUGUGGCGGUCCCCGUCCUGGCUAUGAAACCUUGUGAGCAGAAGGCAAGAGCGGCAAGAUGAGUUUUGAGCGUUGUAUUCCAAAGGCCUCAUCUGGAGCCUCGGGAAAGUCUGGUCCCACAUCUGCCCGCCCUUCCAGCCCUUCCCCAGCCCCUCCUCUUGUUUCUUCAUUCAUUCAACAAAAUUUGGCUGGAA